GGGGUCCCUUUACCUUUACCUUGCCCCGUCUUGCACAAUCAAUCACUAGUCCUGCUGCACACCAUUUGAAUGGAAAUGCCUAUCAAUUUUUUUGGGGGGGGCAGUCCCCUCAAAUAUUUUGUGGGGAGCAAAAGGACCUCAGCACCUAGGAGUUGGCCCCUAUGCACACACCAUUUGAAUGGCAAUGCCUAUCAACUUUUUUUGGGGGGACAACCCCCUCAAAUAUUUUAUGGGGGGUGAAGGGACCACAACCACUAGGAUUUUGCUCUAUGCACCCUGAGAACCUUUUGCCCCCAAACCACAUGGAUGCUGCGUAUCAACUACCGUAUUGGGGUGAGGGAGAGAUUUGGCUCGGCUGCUGACACAUCAGCUGACAGUUUGUGCCAUGCAGUGAUGUGCAAGUGGCGCUGAAGUCAGUGGGACUAGCGAACAUGCUGAGGCAUGUGCCAUCUUGGGAGCAGAGCGUAGCUGAAAGGGCGGCUUAGUUUUGAGUAGUAACCAUGCGUUGAACCAGGCUGCUUGCACAUGAGUUAUGACUUGGGAAGUUCCCACUCAAGUCUCAUCCAUAAACCCAUAAGGGGAUCUUAGGCAAGCAGCCACUGUUGUUAUGGGCUCCUCCCCAACCCACUGGCACUACGAACACAAACAGUUUUGUUUCAACCUCAGUUUCCCUACCUGCAAUAUGGGGAAUGGUAAUAUUGAUUUGUCUUACAGGUUUGCUGUGGAUCGCAACUGUGAAGUGCUUUGAGUGUUGGAAAGCGCUAUAAGAAUAUGAAGCAUAAACACUGAGGAAAUGUACAUUGAGCACUCAAAACGGCAACUGGCAGUGCUUUUUUCCCCUAAAAAAAAUGUUUAGGGGUACUCUCAUUUUCCUACUCAUAUUGAAAUACUGCCCCUCAAUGAGGCCAAACUUAGAUACACAAAACGUUUAGGGUUAUGUGUACCUCUGCGUCCCCCCAGAAAAAAAGCACUGGCAACUGGUGCUAUAACAGUAUUAUAUGGCCUCCAUCUAUUGGGGACGCGGGUGGUGCUGUGGGUUAAACCACAGAGCCUAGGACAUGCCGAUCAGAAGGUCGGCAGUUCGAAUCCCUGCGAUGAGGUGAGCUCCCGUUGCUCGGUCCCUGCUCCUGCCAACCUAGCAGUUCAAAAACAUGUCAAAGUGCAAGUAGAUAAAUAGGUAUCACUCUAGCGGGAAGGUAAACGGCGUUUCGGUGUGCUGCUCUGGUUCGCCAGAAGCGGCUUAGUCAUGCUGGCCACAUGACCUGGAAGCUGUACGCCGGCUCCCUCAGCCAAUAAAGCGAGAUGAGCGCCGCAGCCCCAGAGUCGGCCACGACUGGACCUAAUGGUCAGGGGUCCCUUUCCCUUUAUGGCCUCCAUCUAAAAACUGGCUCACAUAGAACUAGCAUAGCAGAGUGGCUAAGGUUAUAGUUCCAAAAGCAUUUACUCAGGACUAGGAGUAAAUUCCAUUAAAUUAUGUGGUUUAUUGUUUGUUGUGACGCAUGAUGUAAAUGUGCUAUAAACCGGGCAGUCCACUGUCCAAAUAUCCUGUUGUAAACUUACUUCAGAAGCCAGUAUCUCUGUUUCAUCUAAAUAUGGGGAUGAGAAUAAUACUGACCUACCUUAAAGGGCUGUUGUAAGAUUUAAUAAAAACAUAUGAGAAGCACUUAGAACACCAGUCUACAGGGCUACAGACAUGCUAAACGUUGUUCUCAAACUCUCCUUGUAGCACACAUGGCAAGUUAAGACAAAGAUUUGAUUUGCGAUGUUUCUCAUUUUUAUUGCAAAGCAACCGUACGAACACAGUGUUCAUGUGCAGUGAAUUUCACAAACGUGUAAUGCGAGUUCUGAUCAGAAAUCUCAUCUCGGCCCAGAGUUUUGCAAUCUGCAUUUCAUUACUUCACAGUUUGUUCAUUUCUAAGUAUUUCAGAAGCUAGAAUUUCAACCACGGAGUAUGUGAUUAGUCAUGGUCACAUCAAGUGAAGCAUUUUAGUGGCUUAACCACAUGCUGUGAAAAGUGGUGUAGUUGGCAGAGUAUUGGCCUUAGACUGAGGAGGGCAAUCUCAACUUUCAUUUGUAAAAUGGGGAUAUUAAUAAUCUAUCACCUAAGGCUGUUGUAGAAAUGAAAUAAAUACCAUAAAGCACUUUCAACAUUAAUGCAGCGCUCUAAACAUAAUGAAAUGAAAAUUAUGAAUGUAAUGUAUGCAAAGUACAGUAUACUAAAAUAAUCAACCCUAAAAAAGCAGUGAGAAUUCAGACAUGAUUUAUGCCAAAAUAUAUGAGUUGUUGUUUUUUUUUAAAUGCAGGUAUAAUCAAUACCCUCUGUUCUCUUCACAGGGCUACAAUUCCAAGAGUUCCUUGGGAAGAGGGACUGACUGUUAAAUCAUUUUGAGAGCUGUAGCUGUGUGAGAGAAAUUGGCGUCUCCCAACAACUCUCAGCCCCUUAACAAACUACAAUUCCCAGGAUUCUUUGUGGGGAAGCCAUGCCUGUUGAAAUGGAAUGAAACCGCUUUAUGUGUACGAUGCUGACAACUGUGAGGAAGCCACAUGGA